CCUACGGGGGGCAGCAGUGGGGAAUAUUGCACAAUGGGGGAAACCCUGAUGCCGCGACGCCGCGUGAGUGAAGAAGUAUUUCGGUACGUAAAGCUCUAUCAGCAGGGAAGAAAAUGACGGUACCUGACUAAGAAGCCCCGGCUAACUACGGGCCAGCAGCCGCGGUAAUACGUAGGGGGCAAGCGUUAUCCGGAUUUACUGGGUGUAAAGGGAGCGUAGACGGCAGCGCAAGUCUGGAGUGAAAUCCCAUGGCUUAACCAUGGAACUGCUUUGGAAACUGUGCAGCUAGAGUGCAGGAGAGGUAAGCGGAAUUCCUAGUGUAGCGGUGAAAUGCGUAGAUAUUAGGAGGAACACCAGUGGCGAAGGCGGCUUACUGGACUGUAACUGACGUUGAGGCUCGAAAGCGUGGGGAGCAAACAGGAUUAGAUACCCCUGUAGUC
rnacentral:rRNA from 1 species